CUUCGGAUGUGGGAACAGCUCUUUAAGCCUCUUGGUGGCCCGGGUGACAAAGAGGUGCACCACCCCAGCCCAGCCUUCAGGAUCCCACGGUGUGUGUGAGGUGUGUGCGAGGAGGCCAGGCCUGCCAGCCAGGGCACCCCAAGGGGAGCGGUCUGGCAGGCAGCCCUUGGGCCUCUGGGAAGCCCCGGAGUGGCUGCCGUGGAGGAGGCAGACAGACCAGCGACCAAGGGCAGGGCCGGAGCCCUUCUCCCGGCCAGGACUGCUGGUAGCUCCUGGCCACUGUCAGGCUCUCUGACCUAAGCCCGGCGGAACUCAGGAAGUGUUUACUGUUGGAAGGGAUGCCAGAGAGGCCAGGAAAUGCAGGCAAAUGGUCAGCCAGAAAGAGUGAUAUCCAAAGCCAGUGGGCGUGGGAGCCAGGACAGAGCCGGUCAGAGCUGAGAGCCGAGGCAGCAGGGUGCACUGUAGGUCAUGACUGCAGCGGCUGAUGACUUGAUCUUGGUACAGUUCUACAGGCCCCGGAAGGAGACCCGGACCAGGGCCCGGGGAAGUGAGCCCAUCACGGCCCUGGUGGAGUGACUGGCUGUAGUGUGCUGUUCUCCUAUUUGGUCAAAAGGGGAAGGAAGGACAUUCCAGAGCCCCGGGCCACAAAGAGUGGACAGUCAGCAGGACACAGGAUGAGCCCAAGCCCUGUGGACAGGGCCACCACGUGACUCACUUCAAGACACAGACUGCUUCCAUCAGAACCAUCAGGUCCAGCUGUGGGUGCUAGUCGAGCAUCCACAGAGCCUGGAGCCCUAGCAGAGGGGGCCGGUGGUGGGCACGGCUCCGGCGGUCAAGGGAGGCUGGCCCUGGGACGGCAAUAUGCUGGCCAUCUCCCUGCCCCGUCCUCCAUUCCACAGAAAGUGUCUGUGCUGGGCAUGACCGAGGAAAAGACUUCUCUCUCUGUCUGACAACUCUCCUGGCUCAGAGGUGGGGCCUAGAGACCAGGUUUACCCCUGGUGGGUAAAAUCUGCCUCUUCAUGUCUGGGGGCCCCUCACUGGUACCCUGUGAACAAGAACAUCCAAGGGAGCCAAGCCCAAACUGUCCUACAAACUUUCCAAAGGAAUAUAAUAUGUAAACAAGACAGAGUGUAUUUCUCAUCCUGAAGUUAGAGUAGCUGGUGUUGGGCUGGUAUGUGGCAUUAGGGUACAGACUGCUUUUCUGCUGGGUGGGCCUUUCAUUCACAUGGCUUAAAAUGGCAGCCCUUAUCCAGCCAUCAGGACUACAUUCCAGCCAACAGGCGGGGGCGGGGAGUGGGAGGGGAAGAGGCCUGGGCCUUCUCCUUCCAGGGCACUUUCUAGAAGCUGCUUUGCUAAAUUUCCUCACAUCCCAUUGGCUAGAACAUAGUCACAUGACCAACCUCACGGCAAGAGAGGCUGGGAAGGGUAGUCUUUACUCAGUGAUGUGCCCGGCUUAAGGCAGGGCCCGCGGAGGAAGAGCUGCAGCCUUGGGGGUGCUCUGU